GAUAGCAAGGUCAGAGUUUAAGUGUUCUGUAGCAUCUAACCUUGAAUCCUGUUUGUCCUGUUGGGAGCGUCAUCUUUUAAAAGCUGAAUAAUGCAGAGUUGAGUCAUCAGUGUAGAAGUAGAUAGAACAGUUUAUUUAUGGAAAGAUCAUUAAUGAACAAUAGUGGGAUAUAGAACAGAGCCCUGUGGGACACCACUGUUGACAGGUUUAGGGGAAGAACAGUGACCGUCUACCACAGCAAAGAUAGAUCAUUCGGAAAGAAAACCGGAGAUAAAAGUACAGAGAGAGGGAUAGAAUCCGUAGGAGGGUAAUUUAGAAAGAAAAUGUUUGUGCCAGACUCUGACAAAAGCUCCUUAGAUCUAAGGCAACAGCAAAAGUUUCACUUUUAAACAGUUAAGUGAGGAUGACCAGGAGUCAGUCAGGAAGGAAAGAAAAUCACCAUUACAACACCCCUUGUGGAACCCAUACUGGCAAUCUGAGGAAAGGUCAGAAGCUGAUAGAUGGUUAAGAACCUUCCGGUUAAGGAUAGAUUCAAAAGCUUUAGAAAGACAAGAAAGUAAAGCUAUGGAACGGUAGUUUGAGGGAUUGGAAAGAUCACUUCUCUAAAUUACAGGCUGUAUGUAGGCGUACUUCCAGCAGGAAGGAAAGGUAGAGACGAAAGAGUUUGACCAGGCAGGGUGUCAGCAUGGAUGCACAAUUUUUAAAGACAAUAAGAGGCACUUCAUCAGGUCUAUAUAAGCCUUUGAGUGUUGGUACCAGAGAGGGCAUAAAAAACAUCUCUCUUAAUUUUAAUAACAGGCAUAAUGGAGUCAGAGGGGGGGGAUGAGUUGGAGGAAUAUGCCCUGAAUCAUCCAGAGUGGAAUUUUUUGAGAAAGUUUGAGUAAAGAUUGUAAUGCUUACUGAUAGUUUUCAAGGCAAUAAUGAAUUUUUGAGAUUAAUUGGUGCUUUGGAGAAAGAAGUGACAUUAUUAUUAUUACCAUAAUUUCUUUCAAGUUACUUCAUCGCGAAGGUCAAAGAUUGCAAUACUGUACUUUUUUAUUUCUUUUGUGAAGUUUACUACUAAAAAUGGAAGGUUAAGAAAUACAAGUUUUUUCUUUCCAUUUUCCAUUUUACAAAUAAGUCGCAUGACACGUCCACAGCUUUGACACUACUGAGUCUCUCGCUCCGGUGCUUGCCCGGACGGGCAGCCGUCCCAGCCCCAUCAAGUCUUAUUCGUGCUUUUAAGUUUACAAGAAAUAUUACAAAACAACAACAUACUGUUCAUCCUGUCAGUAACUCGUCCAACGCUUUCUCAUAAUAACCUAAAUAUUUAACUAUAGCACAAAAGAUCAACAAUACAUAUCUAUCUAUAUCACCAACACCCUGUUCCCUCAUGGGAACUUUCCUCAGUGGGGUGGACAAGGCGAAAAAAUCUCUAAUAAUUCACACAAUAAUAAAUAUGUCAUCUAUCACACAGUAAUGAGGAAUAUCCAUGAAAAAGUUCAAUUCACUGGGAAUGCAUGAAUUAACUGUACAGUAAACAUACCUUAUUCAACACCAUAAAUGCCAUGUGUUAAUGACCAAGAUGCUAAGUCACAGAAAAUGGAAUGUAUAAAAGAGACAGCACAUACCUUGUAGAGGUUAAUAAAAAUACUUAACAUGCAUAUCAUUAAUAAAACAACUGUCCAUCUUGGGAAUGUAACACUGAAUGACAAAUGAAUUCAUUUACAUGUAUCCUAACUACUGAAACCACAUCAGUUUUUACCUACCUGCCCCUCAGGUUACUCUAUCGUCCAAGUAUUUGAGGAACACAAAUGAUAUACUGAGGAACUUCAAUCAGGUUCUCUAUGUCUAGUUGACUGAACUUUGGGGCUGAAGCAACUAUAACAAAUAUAUAUCAGAGCUGCCUUCAAAUGUUAAAUGUGAAAGUACUCAGUACAUUGGAUCACUGAGAUGGGCACUUGAACACAUAAUGCCAAGAGUGAUUCGCUAACUAGUUCCAUACCUGGCAAAACCAUUAUAAAAAUAAAAUAAAAAGGUCUUCAUUGCUUUAUACCACUCGUGUUGGCUUUAAAAAGACUUCUUAUUCCUAUAUGUUCCUCUCCAAGACUGUAUAAACAGUAACGGUAUCAAAGUCAAUGAGUCAUCCUGUAAACACUACCUAUUACUGUGACCUGCCCCAAAACACUGCACCAUUAUUAUUACCAGGAAUCCAUAAAAUGACGACAUAGCUGGACAUUGCCUUAGCUGAGGAGACAAUAGAGUUGAUGAGUUUCUAUAUUUUGAACUAUUCUGUUGGCUUGCUGCCUCCACCAUCACACAACUGCACUGCAUGCUCUUGGCUGCCAGCAAAGAACUAAAAUCAAGUGAUAGAUUAUUGUCAAAAUAACAUACUCAUGAUAUUACUGAUAUAUUCAUAUAUGUCACAACAACUUCAAGAAAACACUCUUUGCAAAUGUUUAAUGUAAAAUAUGCAACAGACAUCUGGUUUCAACACUGAAAUCCUUAAGUGUAAAUGACAAGGUAAAGAGGUUGAGCAAGACCCACUCAACUGCUAAUUCAUAAAAAUAUCGACACAUAGCAGGUACUAGACACAUAUACAUAAAAAGGUCACAAAAAAAUGCAAUUCAUACAAUAGCUGCUGACAGACUGUAUCACUAUAAUGCAAGCUCAAUUAUUUUCAAACAUGAGAUUAAGUUUACUUUGUGCCAUACUUGUGUUUGAAAGCUCACUGCUUCCUGACCCUCGUCCUAAUUUUCACACAAUCUCUUCCCCCAAGGGAGUGCCUCAGCUACCUCCACAAGCCCUGGGGGCCACAGUGUAGCUGACAGCACCAACAUCUUGUUGGGAACUUCACUAAAAGUUCCCAACUGAAAAUGUGCCAUUUCCACUUUGUUUCCCGAAGUGUCAGUGAGGGACUACAAAGAUCCUGCAAUAGAUGUUGCUGGUCAACGGGCAGGUGAGGCAUUGCAAGGGUAUAACUGGACAAUCUGUGUCACUUCAGGGAAACACUGCAGUUAUUAGUGAAAUAACUAUAUUUUCUUUAAUAAAACUAUUCAGAGGCCCAAGAGACUAAGACUGAAUAUGCAUAAAUAAGAAGGGAAGAUGACGGAGGGCAACAGAAAUAUAAUUUAAAUAAGAGAAGAACCCAUCCUAACAAUUCUGUUAAUUGUAAAUGAGUAUUAUAUUACUAGGCCUGAGGGCAUGACACAUCCUAAGGUGAGAGGAGUGACUCACUAAAUGACACAGGAAUGAGACAACUAGCAGAUGGUUACCUCACUGAAGCCUAAAUUCUAAGGUAGCUGUAAUGCAUGUUUGCCAAUUAGCAAGCAAACUCCCAAAUGCUGCUCAAAUCAAGAAAGAAAAUAAACUUCUAGAAAAUUUAACUCAGCUGCUGUCAAAAUAAAGUGUCCAGUCUUGAUUGGGACGACAUUUUCACAUCACAGAAUAAUCUUGCUCCUUAUUUUUUUCCUGAUCCAAGUACUAAUCAGUACUAAUUGGCAAACAGCUCACAUUGCCUCUGCUUCCCAUUGGCAUGUAAGGCAGCCUCUGUCAUGAACACUAAACACUAGGGACAGGUAGGUGUUGGGUGUACGGCUGCAGGACAACAGCCAGUCAUGUAAUGGCAGGUCAUGUUGGGCAGUGGUUAUAAGGAAGGGCUGGUGGUAUGAUGCACAGUGCCUUUUCUACCAUGGUCAAAAGCAUAUAUCAAGUCCGUGGAGAGUGGGGUCAAGGGAUUGGGUUGUACUGGUGACCUUCCUGCUUUCCUUACUCUCUCAAGUCUUUGGUAAAAUUUUUGCUGUGGCUUCAGACAUCUUGAAAGCUUUUGACAGAGGCUGGCAUUAAUCUUUGCUUUCUAUACUAUCCCACAGUGGACUAUUCUUCUCUCUGUACUUUAAUCUCCACUUUCUUUUCUGGCUAUCUAUUUCUGCUGUAAUAGACUAUCAUUGUUCCACUCCUAUACCUACAUACUGGUGUUCCACAGGGUUCUGUUCGAUCACCCACUCUUCUGUAAUUCAUUGAUGACCUUUGCAAAGUAAACUGUACUAACCAGUUAUGCUGAUGAGAACACUUAACCUCUGAUCUUUCUAUUAUGUUCCUUCAGAACGGGCUGAGCCAGUAAUCCUACCUCCAGAAAGCUGGCUUCCUGGAUCUGUGAGUGUACUCUGAGAUUCAACGAGCACCCUCAGUGUUCAAACUUGAAUAUUGGUGAAGAUCCACCACUACAUGUCUGCACAUAUCAGGUCCACCUGCCCCUCCUGAUGACCUGAGGCAGAGCCCUGAGCCCACACACCAGGCCACUGUGUCCCCUCUGCCCCGCCUGAUGCCCCGCAGAACAAGGAAGUGGAGUCCAGGCACCAGACCAGCCUCAUGCCCUGGCCACAACAGUGCUGCUCAACAAGUUUCACAAAAUCUUUACCUGGAAUAUUUUUCCCCAUAUUCAGUGAUGCAUUCAAUGUCCUCAGUCAGAUCAUUUUCACAAAACAUUUCCAACAGCAAAAUUCUAUUUGCAUAACAAGGAAAUUUUAGGUCUUAGUUUCCAGGAUGGUGGCAGCCCAAAAGAUAAGGCAGUCUGGCAGGCAGCUGCCACACACAAAGAUUACAACCUAUCCCUUCACUAACACUCCAUGAAAGGUGACAAUACUGUGUGCUCACGAGCUAACCAACCAUCAAGACGUCUGGUAAAGAGUAAUAUGCAGACAUCUGCGCCCUAAGGUCAGACACACUGUACACUAAAUAUACAAAAAAAUAUUGCACCUUGUGAUAAUUGCAUCAUGAACACACACACACACAUUAUCUAUCUAUCUAUCUAUCUAUC